UGAAACUUCCUAGUAUCUCGCGGGCUUGAA
rnacentral:piRNA from 1 species